CGGAAGGUCCGGCGUUAUCCGGAUUUAUUGGGUUUAAAGGGAGCGUAGGCCGUGGAUUAAGCGUGUUGUGAAAUGCAGGUGCUCAACGUCUGCACUGCAGCGCGAACUGGUCCACUUGAGUGUGCGCAACGCAGGCGGAAUUCGUCGUGUAGCGGUGAAAUGCUUAGAUAUGACGAAGAACUCCGAUUGCGAAGGCAGCUUGCGGGAGCACAACUGACGCUGAAGCUCGAAAGUGCGGGUAUCGAACAGGAUU
rnacentral:rRNA from 1 species